AACGAACGCUGGCGGCAGGCUUAACACAUGCAAGUCGAGCGCCCCGCAAGGGGAGCGGCAGACGGGUGAGUAACGCGUGGGAACGUACCCUUUGCUACGGAAUAGCUCCGGGAAACUGGAAUUAAUACCGUAUGUGCCCUACGGGGGAAAGAUUUAUCGGCAAAGGAUCGGCCCGCGUUGGAUUAGCUAGUUGGUGGGGUAAUGGCCUACCAAGGCGACGAUCCAUAGCUGGUCUGAGAGGAUGAUCAGCCACAUUGGGACUGAGACACGGCCCAAACUCCUACGGGAGGCAGCAGUGGGGAAUAUUGGACAAUGGGCGCAAGCCUGAUCCGGCCAUGCCGCGUGAGUGAUGAAGGCCUUAGGGUUGUAAAGCUCUUUCACCGGAGAAGAUAAUGACGGUAUCCGGAGAAGAAGCCCCGGCUAACUUCGUGCCAGCCGCCGCUGUAAAAC
rnacentral:rRNA from 1 species